CCUACGGGAGGCAGCAGUGAGGAAUAUUGGUCAAUGGGCGCGAGCCUGAACCAGCCAAGUCGCGCGAGGGAUGACGGUCCUACGGAUUGUAAACCUCUUUUGCCGGGGAGCAAGCGUGCGUUCGUGAACGCGCGUCGAGAGUACUCGGAGAAAAAGCAUCGGCAAACUCCGUGCCAGCAGCCGCAGUAUUACGGAGGAUGCGAGCGUUAUCCGGAUUUAUGGGGUUUAAAGGGUGCGUAGGCGGGAUGUCAAGCCAGCGGGAAAAGUGCGGGGCUAAACGCCGUCGUGCCGUUGAAACUGGCAGUAGUGAGUGGACGAGAAGUAUGCGGAAUGCGUGGUGUAGCGGUGAAAUGCAUAGAUAGCACGCAGAACUCCGAUUGCGAAGGCAGCAUACCGGCGCCCUACUGACGCUGAGGCACGAAAGCGUGGGUAUCGAACAGGAUUAGAUACCCCUGUAGUC
rnacentral:rRNA from 1 species